AACUUAAUAGGAAUGCCAAGAAAUGUGAUGAAGAAGAAAAGGCUGAAAAGGCCAAGAUUAAAAGACUUCAGCCUUGAUGAACAAAUUCGAACACCAGUUUGAAAUAUUGGAUAUUCAAACACAACAAAUGGAGGAUAAAAUGAGUAACUCUACAACCCUAACAACACCACAAAACCAAAUGGAUAUGCUGCUUCAGGAAAUGCCAGAUGAAGCUAGGUAAGAAGUUAUCCAGGUGAUUGUGGAAAAUCUUGAUUUAGUAUCUAGAGGUUCUAAAAUUCUGUGAUAUAGAUGAAAAUAUUUCUCUUUUCCACGAAUUGCCAGAGUUAGGUUUGUGACCCUAGAAUUUAGUGUUUCAAGGGAUUUUAAACAGUCAUCUAAUUCCUUGCCAUGCUCAUAAAAAUUUGACUGUGUUUCAAUCAUCUUAGUAUUUUCUUAAAAAUUUCUGGAAAUAGACUCAUUUAGUGUGUGUAAAGAAAUAGGCAAAGGUGAUCAAAGGAACCAGGAAUGUUUGAACAUUUGCUCAAUACCUACUGUUCGCUGCAUAUAUGAAAUAUAUGGUGUGUUGUUUUUUUUUUUUUUUAAAAAAAGGACCUUCCAAAAUAAUUCUGCUGUGAUUAGGCCAUUGAGUCAUAAGUCUAGUUUGAGUACUGCAAACUGAGCAAUAUGUGCAAAAUGUGCAAAGGGCUCAAAAGACAGCAGUAUUACACAUAAUGAUUUGGUUGUUUCUUUUAAGUAAAUAGUUCAUACCCUUUUGUGAUAUUGUUUUUGGAAAUAGGGUGUAUAAUACAAGCUGUUUAUUUCAGGCCCUUCAUGUCAUGGUAGAAUGACUUAUCUAUGAUAUCUUUGCUAUAGAGGUCAUGUUGUAUCAUUAUUCUCUGGUGUAAUGUUUGCUUCAAGAUAAUGUAGUAGUAAAAAAUAAAAAUUGAUGCUAAUGUUUUAUAAUUUAUUUUCAAAGGUAGAGAACUAGUUUGAAACGAGGCUUAGUCUUAUUUUGUUCUUUUCUCCUGGGAAGAGAAGAUUUGAAGACAUCUGGAAAACAGAGUAGAUAAAUACUACUCUCUUAUCUAAGCUAAUACCUGAUUAGAAUAAACAGUUAAGUUUAUCAACACUUUCGAUCACUAAUAUAUUACUAAAGAAUUAAAAUCGAGAUUAAUAAAUUAAAAAUCAGGUUAGUAGUGUUCGAGAACAGGGCUGUGGGUUAAGUUGUGUGCUAUUUUGUUUUGUUAGUAUCCUAAAGUAGCCCAUAUAUGGAGGGGAACAAGAAAGGUGGUUUUCAUUAAAUAUUAUAACAAAGGCAUUGUGUGUCAGAAGACUCCGUCUUCUAAAGAUAGUCUUUAUAAGGGACUAAGGACUUGUUUAGUUUCUGCUAAAGACUAAAUUAGACGAUUUGGCUUGAAAAUGCAACAAGGGAAGUCUUAUAAAAUGAAUGCUGCCACGUUAUGGCCUUACUGACCCUCAGUGGUAAAUGAAAUCAGUAGGCAACUUUUUGAUAAGGUUUAGAGCAGGAUUUUACAACCUC
rnacentral:lncRNA from 1 species